rnacentral:rRNA from 1 species
UACGGAGGGUGCAAGCGUUAUCCGGAUUCACUGGGUUUAAAGGGUGCGUAGGCGGGCAGGUAAGUCAGUGGUGAAAUCUCCGAGCUUAACUCGGAACCUGCCAUUGAUACUAUUUGUCUUGAAUAUUGUGGAGGUAAGCGGAAUAUGUCAUGUAGCGGUGAAAUGCUUAGAUAUGACAUAGAACACCAAUUGCGAAGGCAGCUUACUACACAAUGAUUGACGCUGAGGCACGAAAGCGUGGGGAUCAAACAGG